rnacentral:rRNA from 1 species
AUUCAACGCCGGAAAUCUUACCGGGACCGACAGCAAUAUGAAGGCCAGGCUGAAGACUUUGCCGGAUUAGCUGAGAGGUGGUGCAUGGCCGUCGUCAGUUCGUACUGUGAAGCAUCCUGUUAAGUCAGGCAACGAGCGAGACCCACGCCCACAGUUGCCAGCGUACUCUCUGGAGUGACGGGUACACUGUGGGACCGCCGCUGCUAAGCGGAGGAAGGAAUGGGCAACGGUAGGUCAGUAUGCCCCGAAUAUCCCGGGCUACACGCGAGCUACAAUGGUUGGUACAAUGGGUAUCUACCCCGAAAGGGGACGGGAAUCUCCUAAAACCAAUCUUAGUUCGGAUUGAGGGCUGCAACUCGCCCUCAUGAAGCUGGAAUCCGUAGUAAUCGCGUUUCAACAGAACGCGGUGAAUACGUCCCUGCUCCUU